rnacentral:lncRNA from 1 species
AUUAAGUAGCCUUUAGACACAAGCACAAUCCACUCGACUUCUAUCUACGACAGUGAAGGGUGAGGUGAGGCUAGGGUUAGGAAAGACAUUUGUACUCAUGUUCGUAUGCCUCUAAAUCUGCUCCUCUAAAAAGGGGUGCCUCCGCCUCUAUUCAAUAAGCCGUUAAUGCAACAGUCACAGAUGCUGACACAGAUUCUUGCGCCGAGAUCAUCUACUGGAGAAGGAUCAGAAAGUGGGGAGUUCGGUUCUUCAAGUAGAGUUCCCGCGGAUUAAGGAGAAGAAUAAGUCCUAGUUAGUGAGUUUGAGUCUUGCAUAUAAAACAGGUAAUAAGAGAUGGAGAGAUGGAUUCCAUUCUGCUCUUUGAAACUGGGAUAGCGGUAUCGGUGCCUGAGAAGUUCACACAGAUUAGAUUGCCCCUGACCCCCGACCCAACAACAUAAUAUCAUGCGCACACUGAAAUAGAGUAUCUUCAAACAAGGGUUAGCUCCGUUAGAGCCCCAAGAGGAUCAAGAUCAGAAUAAGGAUCAAGGUAAGGGUCAAUUCCUGGAGAAGGUGAGGAAGCGGGAAGCUAUUCGAUUCUUGUUUCAUCGAGAAGAAGCUAUUUUCGAAACUAUGUCGGUGUUGGGGUCAGGAACUGUAGCUAUGUCUAGUAGAUUGGGGUCAGGAACUGUAGCUAUGUCUAGUAGAUCUUGGUGUUGCGGUGAAUAAGAGGCUCAAGCAGAAGCAAGGGAAUCCGCAAGUGAAAGAAACAGGAGCUACAGCCUUAGUUCUGGGUUAAAGCCUUGUUGGUUGUAGUGGAAUUCCUGGUGGAAAGGUUCAUCCGAUUGGUUCAGCUGUUCGAGCCUUGUUGUCAGUAGUGAAAACCUGAGACUAAUGAGUUGAAGCCUGGGUGUCGUGUUUCAGUAUAAGUAUAAUAAUAGCAUGACUUUGAUUCCCAGUUGAUAGCCCUAUUCUUAUAGUUCUUAGUUGAAGAGUUAAAGCAGUAAAGGCAGCUUUAAGUGAGGUAGUUCAGGUCUGUUUGCUAGUAGUUCCAUGCUUGCUAGUAGUAGCUGGGUUGUCCAUAGUGGUAUUUGAUAGUCAGGAAAGGAAUACUCCAAUAUAUAAUAUAGGUUUCAAGCUAAGAGGUGUAUAGGCGGAUAUCUAGUAAAAGCAUACUCCGUAUGGUAAUCGAGGGACAACUACAAGAAUGAGUGGUUGAAUGGGAGCUCGUUGACGGAGUUCAGGAUAUAGGUUUUCUACGGCAAAUCAGAAUUCCAUAAUUAGUAGUUAACCCAUGUGUGUAGACCUUCUAAUAAGAGUCCAAAUAAUAAGUAAGAAAACAACUGGGAAGUAUGGUUUUCACACUGCCUUUACUGGCUAAAGCUUCUACUUCAUUGUAGCAGGCUUCACUGCGAAACAAAGGAUUGAACUCAGCAGUAGCAGAAUCCAACAAGUAAGUCCACUGACCUAAACACAUAAGUGAGCCUGAAACUCCUUACUGGCCCCCAAACCCGGACCUCUACCUUUCUUUCUUCGUUUAUUGGUUUAGUAUGCCCCUCGGCGUAUUGCUUGUUAGUUUUAGCCUCCCUCGGUUAGGGUACCUCGCUAUGAUAGGACUUAAUAUGGUGUGUCAGUGUAUCAGAACUAAACAAAUAAGUACAGGAAAGAAUGGGAUUAGUAUUUACUUGGCUGA